GGGGGAUUGCCUUCUUUUGGAGUUUCCAGUAAGCCUUGAUCCUCAGAAAGGCCACACACAUCCAUGAAUGGUUGGAGCUGAAGGGCCCUGAAGAGUCAUGAUGCACUCUUCUGCUCAAAUGGUUGACUUUUGGUCUUAACUUCUCUUGGGCAAGAAACCCAUCCUUGGCUUG